rnacentral:rRNA from 1 species
GCGACGCCGCGUGGGUGAAGAAGGCCUUCGGGUUGUAAAGCCCUGUCAGGAGUUAUGAAAUGUAAGUGCGCUAAUACCGUGCUUAUUUGACAAAGGCUCCAAAGGAAGCCACGGCUAACUCUGUGCCAGCAGCCGCGGUAAUACAGAGGUGGCGAGCGUUGUUCGGAAUUAUUGGGCGUAAAGAGCACGUAGGUGGGUUUGCAAGUCAGAUGUGAAAGCCUUCUGUUCAACGGAAGAAUUGCAUCUGAAACUGCUAAUCUUGAGUAUAGGAGGGGAGAAUGGAACUUCUGGUGGAGCGGUGAAAUGCGUAGAUAUCAGAAGGAACGCCGGCGGCGAAAGCGAUUCUCUGGCCUAUUACUGACACUCAGUGUGCGAAAGCUAGGGGAGCAAACGGGAUUAGAUAGCCCCGGUAGUCCUAGCCGUAAACGAU